CGGCCCCGGAGCCGGCGGCCCCCGCGCCCUUUGCCGAUUGCUGCGGCGGUUUUCUCUUCCUUUUCCUCCCGAGCUCGAAAGAGAAUUCCCAAAAAUCCAGCAGCCGGCUCCCCGUGGGCUGGGCACGUCCCUGCUCCUGCCGUCCUCCUCCUGGCCUGCCUGGCCCUGGGAAUUCCGGCUGGGAGAUCCCUGAUCCCACUGGGAGAUCCCUGAUCCCACUGGGAGAUCCCUGCUCCCACUGGGAGAUCCCUGCUCCCUGGGCUCCUGAUCCCACUGGGAAAUCCAGCUGGGAAAUUCCUGCUCCCACUGGGAAAUCCCUGCUCCCACUGGGAAUUCUGGCUGGGAGAUCCCUGCUCCCACUGGGAAAUCCCUGCUCCCUGAGCUCCCGAUCUCACCGGGAAUUCCGGAUGGGAGAUCCCCUCUCCCUGGCCCCCCCAAGCCUGUCCCCGGGGGUUGAUUCCCGGGAUAACCCGUGCCGGGAGCACCGGGAGAGCUUUGGGAAGGGGGCAGAGCCUCUCCAGCCCCGUCCCGCGGGCACAGCAGGAGCAGGGCUUGGCCUCGCCCGUGCCAGCCCCGCUGCUGUCCCGGGCUGUCCCCAGGCUGUCCCCCGGCUGUCCCCCGGCUGUCCCGGGCUGUCCCCGGGCUGU
rnacentral:lncRNA from 1 species